rnacentral:rRNA from 1 species
UACCAGCACCCCGAGUGGUCGGGACGAUUAUUGGGCCUAAAGCAUCCGUAGCCGGUUCUGCAAGUCCCCCGUUAAAUCCCGCUGCUCAACAGAUGGGCCGCGGAGGAUACUACAGAGCUAGGAGGCAGGAGAGGCAAGCGGUACUCAGUGGGUAGGGGUAAAAUCCGUUGAUCCAUUGAAGACCACCAGUGGCGAAGGCGGCUUGCCAGAAUGCGCUCGACGGUGAGGGAUGAAAGCUGGGGGAGCAAACCGG